rnacentral:rRNA from 1 species
CCUAGAAAAAAUCUAAGGUGAAACCUGCCCAAUGAUUUUUAAUUGAAUUAAUUUAAUCAUUUUUAAAAAAAUUUAAAGGACGCAGUAACUUGACUGUGAUAAUGUAGCAUAAUCACUCGCCAUUUAAUUGAUGGAUAGUAUGAAUGGUUAAACGAAUCCUUCACUGUCUCAACAAGAGAAUCCAUGAAAUUAAAAUAAUAGUUAAGAUACUAUUUAAAAUUGUAAGACGAAAAGACCCUAUAGAGCUUAACUAUACUUUCUUUUAAAAUAAAAGAGAAAAUGGUAGUUUAGUUGGGGCGACUAUCUUCUAAAAAUAACGAAGAUAAGCAAAAUUUAUAAAAAAUUUAUUGUAUAACUAAUAAGUUUAACAAUUACAAAAAUAGGCUAUAUUGACCCGUUAUAAUUAAGUGAUAAAUGUAACGAUUAAUAAAUAAAAGCUACCUUAGGGAUAACAGGAUAAUUUCGUUUUAGAGAUCUUAUCGAAAACGAAGUUUGUCACCUCUAUGUUGAAUUAAGAUAACCUAAUAGUGCAGAAUCUAUUGAAGGUAGGUCUGUUCGACCUUUAAAAU